AGAAUCAACGCUGGCGGCGUGCCUAACACAUGCAAGUCGCACGAGAAAGGGUAGCAAUACCUGAGUACAGUGGCGCACGGGUGAGUAACACGUGACUAACCUACCCUCGAGUGGGGAAUAACCUGGGGAAACCCGGGCUAAUACCGCAUAACACUUACGAGUCAAAGCAGCAAUGCGCUUGAGGAGGGGGUCGCGGCCGAUUAGCUAGUUGGCGGGGUAAUGGGCCCACCAAGGCAAUGAUCGGUA
rnacentral:rRNA from 1 species